UACGAGGGGUGCGAGCGUUGUUCGGAAUCACUGGGCGUAAAGGGAGCGUAGGCGGAGCGACAAGCGGUCUGUACAAUGCCGGGGCCUAACCCCGGACCUGCAGACCGGACUGCCGUUCUUGAGUCGUUCAGAGGCUGGCGGAAUUCCUGGUGUAGCGGUGGAAUGCGUAGAUAUCAGGAAGAACACCGAUGGCGAAGGCAGCCAGCUGGGGACGUACUGACGCUGAGGCUCGAAAGCGCGGGAAGCAAACAGG
rnacentral:rRNA from 1 species